rnacentral:sRNA from 1 species
GGCUCUCCUUCGGAAAGAUGUCGGACACGGCAGUAGCUGAUACUCGGCGCCUUAACUCGAAGCCGCAGGACCUGACCGACGCUUACGGGCCGCCAAGUAACUUCCUGGAGAUCGACAUCUUUAAUCCUCAGACGGUGGGCGUGGGACGCGCGCGCUUCACCACCUAUGAGGUUCGCAUGCGGACAAACCUACCUAUCUUCAAGCUAAAGGAGUCCUGCGUACGGCGGCGCUACAGUGACUUUGAGUGGCUGAAAAAUGAGCUGGAGAGAGAUAGCAAGCUUGUUGCUUUCCAUGGCAGUAAUCCUCCUAGAGUCCAAGCAGUCUGUUGUAUGGAGCAGGGUGUGUGGGUUUUCUGGGCCCAUCAUUAUGGCUGCUUCAGAGUCAGAAGAAAGCCAUAGGGCAGUAGGGGAGCUCCUAUUGCCUAGCCCCUCUCCCUUUGUGGCUCCCACUCUAGCUGCCUAUUUUUGCUCAUCAGCUGGUGAGUCAGUAUGGGCCAGCAGUUCUCCCUCCCCAAGCCCUUGCUACUUUAUGGGUUAGCUUUGCAGGUUUGGUGGCUUGAGGGGUGGGGGCAACUCACCACUGCCAGGUAACUCCCUGAAGGGUGGGAGUGGAUUAUCUUCUAGGCUCUUACCCUCGGUAGGGAAGGGCAUCAACACUGUCUUCCUUCCAUUCUCCUUUCCCCCAUCCCAUUUAGUGCUGCCACAGGGCAGAAGCACACAAACCAACCACACAGUCUCUGACUUCUCCUAAGCACUUUGAGUUGUUGAAUGGGGCUCAGGGGCAAGAGUUUUUGCUGCCCUCCCCAGCGUGGUCACAGGGUUAUUGAACUGCCUGCACUUGUUUCUCAUGCAACUCCAGCAUU